AAAGGAAUUGACGGGGGCCCGCACAAGCGGAGGAGCAUGUGGUUUAAUUCGAUGAUACGCGAGGAACCUUACCCGGGCUUGAAAGUUAUGGAAUGAUGUGGAAACAUGUCAGUCAGCAAUGACCAGAAACUAGGUGCUGCAUGGCUGUCGUCAGCUCGUGCCGUGAGGUGUUAGGUUAAGUCCUGCAACGAGCGCAACCCCUAUCAUUAGUUGCCAUCAGGUUAUGCUGGGGACUCUAAUGAGACUGCCCGCGCAAGCGGUGAGGAAGGUGGGGACGACGUCAAGUCAUCACGGCCCUUACGUCCGGGGCUACACACGUGCUACAAUGGCAGGUACAAUGGGCAGCUACAUGGUAACAUGAUGCUAAUCUCCAAAACCUGUCUCAGUUCGGAUUGAGGUCUGCAACUCGACCUCAUGAAGCUGGAUUCGCUAGUAAUCGUAUAUCAGCAAUGAUACGGUGAAUACGUUCCCGGGCCUUGUACACACCGCCCGU
rnacentral:rRNA from 1 species